rnacentral:lncRNA from 10 species
GCUUCCGAAGUGAUCGAUCAGGCAGUGUCAGUCUUCAGCUGCUAAGCCAAGAAGAUCUGGGAAGGAGUCAGUCAGAGAGCCUUGGGCCAGAGUUCCAGGGGCUCUGGGAGUGGCUGUCAGUUCUACAGGGCCUGGAGCUGAUACGAAAAACCUCCCUUCUUUCCCAAAUGGUCCCCAGCUUCCCCGUUCACUGAAGGCCCUGCAGUCGGGAACAGUCAGGACUUUGCACCCAGUUGUUGUGGGUGUUUGGCCAACCCUUCCUCUUGUGUGAUUCAUGGACCUGCAGCAUUGCGUCACCUGUGAGCUUUUGGAAUUGAAGACUCUCAGGGCUCACCCGGGAGGACCUGCUGGGC